rnacentral:rRNA from 1 species
UACGGAGGGUGCAAGCGUUAUCCGGAUUUACUGGGUUUAAAGGGUGUGUAGGCGGGCUUUUAAGUCAGUGGUGAAAUCUCCGGGCUCAACCUGGAAACUGCCAUUGAUACUAUUAGUCUUGAAUUUUGUUGAGGUAGGCGGAACAAGUCAUGUAGCGGUGAAAUGCAUAGAUAUGACUUAGAACACCAAUUGCGAAGGCAGCUUGCUAAACAAAUAUUGACGCUGAGGCACGAAAGCGUGGGGAUCAAACAGG